GGGGUUGUGGUUCAGUGGUAGAGCACUUGCCUAGCAUGUAUGAGGCACUGGGUUCGAUCCUCAGCACCCCA
rnacentral:tRNA from 1 species